rnacentral:lncRNA from 1 species
GAUUUGUUUCUGUCAGGCGGAAUGACUUAUGUGCUGCGCGGUUCCCUUAACUGCAGGGUUAGCCAACACCACCCAAGCCAGCUAUUUCAGUAACGCCUGAGUGUUAGGACCUCCCCUAAUAUGCGAUCAGAGGGCUCUGGUGCUCAGAAGGCAGUCAGUCUGCUGGAGACACAGAGGCUGCAGAGAUGGGCCAGGUUCUGAGUUGGUUAAGGACCCCUAACGAGAAUCAGAUGAUACAGGAUGUGCCCCAGGAGCAGCAGCCCCAG